rnacentral:lncRNA from 10 species
AGUCUUGGAACUAGGAUUGGGGUGGGGUUCAUCCCACCCAGACCACAGAGACUGAAAAUAAGAAAGGGGUGAGGCCUAAGGGACAAUCAGGAUGUUUUUCAGAGAGAAGUGUGGAUGCUGGACAGGAAGAACCACAGAUACCAGAUACGGGUACUGUUGUAACUCUGUUCUCCAUGAAAAGACAUACUUUAUUCAGCUGGGUGCUGAAAAAGAAUCUUGGAAAUUAGGAAACUGAAUGAGGCCUCAUUUCACACUCAGAAUGUGGGUUGCAAUAGUCACUUCCUCUGCUGCUGGGAAAGAAAGAAUUAUACUACCUUUUGAAUUUUGGAUUAAGGAGAGAGGUGUUGGCUUGUCAAACUACCAUGUAUUCCUCAAGACAUAUUUUUGUGGCUUUAUAAAAUUCAAUAUAUAUGUCUAAAUUCAAAAAUAUUUUGUUGCAAUCUGGCCCUUGGACAAAC